ACUCCUACGGGAGGCAUCAGUGGGGAAUAUUGGACAAUGGGCGAAAGCCUGAUCCAGCAAUGCCGCGUGAGUGAUGAAGGCCUUAGGGUUGUAAAGCUCUUUUACCCGGGAUGAUAAUGACAGUACCGGGAGAAUAAGCCCCGGCUAACUCCGUGCCAGCAGCCGCGGUAAUAC
rnacentral:rRNA from 1 species